rnacentral:rRNA from 1 species
CCCUUAGAUGUUCUGGGCCGCACGCGCGCUACACUGACGAUGGCAACGAGUUUUUCCUUCGCCGAAAGGUGUGGGUAAUCUUUUGAAACAUCAUCGUGCUGGGGAUAGAUCAUUGCAAUUUUUGAUCUUGAACGAGGAAUUCCUAGUAAGCGCGAGUCAUCAGCUCGCGUUGAUUACGUCCCUGCCCUUUGUACACACCGCCCGUCGCUACUACCGAUUGAAUGGUUUAGUGAGGACUCCUGAUUGGCGCCGCCGCCCCGGCAACGGAGCAGCGGACUGCCGAAAAGUUGUUCAAACUUGAUCAUUUAGAGGAAGUAAAAGUCGUAACA